GUGAGGAAUAUUGGUCAAUGGACGAGAGUCUGAACCAGCCAAGUCGCGUGAAGGAAGACGGUUCUAUGAAUUGUAAACUUCUUUUGUGCAGGAAUAAAGUGGGUUACGUGUAACCUUUUGUAUGUACUGUACGAAUAAGGAUCGGCUAACUCCGUGCCAGCAGCCGCGGUAAUACGGAGGAUCCGAGCGUUAUCCGGAUUUAUUGGGUUUAAAGGGUGCGUAGGAGGAUUGAUAAGUCAGCGGUGAAAGUUUGCAGCUUAACUGUAAAAUUGCCGUUGAAACUGUCGGUCUUGAGUGCAAAUGAGGUAGGCGGAAUGUGUUGUGUAGCGGUGAAAUGCUUAGAUAUAACACAGAACUCCGAUUGCGAAGGCAGCUUACUGGGAUGCAACUGACACUGAUGCACGAAAGCGUGGGUAUCAAACAGGAUUAGAUACCCGAGUAGUCC
rnacentral:rRNA from 1 species